AAUUAUUUUAUAGGCAAAUAUUGCUGAUUUCUCAGGUAAUCAAUGGAUUACAGCUUUUCAAGAGAGUGCGGAGGCAAUUUUAUGUGUUUCUGCUGAGCAAAUUGGUCAUUUAAAAGAUUCGGACGUGUCUCAAUUUGAUAUGAUUUUUAGUGAAGCAUGUUUCAAACCUUUUGUGUUUAAAGUUCGUGCAAAGAUGGAGACUUAUCAGGAUGAAAGAAAACUUAAAUGUUCUGCUAUGUCUGCAGCGCCUGUUAACUUCAAACAAGAAUGCAAAAGACUUUUAGACGAAAUAAAAAAUCUUGAAAGACUAUAGCUUAAAAGUUUUAGACUUCAGUGGCGAACAAGCCGCACAAAGACGUCAGUUUUGUAAAAGCGACACUCUUGAUGUAAAACAAUUUAAUAAACAUGUAAUUAUCUAAAAAAGUAUAUGGGUGGAGCUAAAUUUAUUUAACGCCCACUUCAAGACAAGUAUAAAACAUUCUUUAAAAUAAAUGCUAAUAAUUUUGUUUAGAGGUGUCUGUUUAAUUCCGAUAUGUAUUUUUGUAUUGUUUAGCGACA
rnacentral:lncRNA from 1 species